rnacentral:rRNA from 1 species
CCUACGGGGGGCUGCAGUGAGGAAUAUUGGUCAAUGGACGAGAGUCUGAACCAGCCAAGUAGCGUGAAGGAUGACUGCCCUAUGGGUUGUAAACUUCUUUUAUAUGGGAAUAAAACGUUCCACGUGUGGGAUUUUGUAUGUACCAUAUGAAUAAGGAUCGGCUAACUCCGUGCCAGCAGCCGCGGUAAUACGGAGGAUCCGAGCGUUAUCCGGAUUUAUUGGGUUUAAAGGGAGCGUAGGUGGAUUGUUAAGUCAGUUGUGAAAGUUUGCGGCUCAACCGUAAAAUUGCAGUUGAAACUGGCAGUCUUGAGUACAGUAGAGGUGGGCGGAAGUCGUGGUGUAGCGGUGAAAUGCUUAGAUAUCACGAAGAACUCCGAUUGCGAAGGCAGUUCACUGGACUGCAACUGACACUGAGGCUCGAAAGUGUGGGUAUCAAACAGGAUUAGAUACCCCAGUAGUC